UACGUAGGGCGCAAGCGUUGUCCGGAAUUAUUGGGCGUAAAGAGCUCGUAGGCGGUCUGUUGCGUCCGCUGUGAAAACCCAGGGCUUAACCUUGGGCUUGCAGUGGAUACGGGCAGACUAGAGGCAGGUAGGGGAGAAUGGAAUUCCCGGUGUAGCGGUGAAAUGCGCAGAUAUCGGGAGGAACACCGGUGGCGAAGGCGGUUCUCUGGGCCUGUACUGACGCUGAGGAGCGAAAGCGUGGGGAGCGAACAGG
rnacentral:rRNA from 1 species